CCUGUGUCGUGCAGAACCCGAUGGCAAGCAGAAAUCACAACAGAUGGGUGCAUUUCACCACCAGCGCACUGCAGGGCUUCUUGGAUUGCAGCACAGUUUUUGUUCUAUCACAGAUAAUGGGAGCUGAGUGUCACUGUGAUCCUUCCUACAGAUGAAGGGCGUUUAUGAGCAAGGUGGGGAUUUGUUACCAGCCUGUCCUUCGUAGGGACGCUCGGCAGCUUAUUGCCCAUUCCCAGCUCUCUCAGCCUCUCCCUGCUCAUAGCAGAGGUGCUCCAGUCCCUCUGUCAUUUUGUGGCUCAUCACUCGACUCUUGGAUCUGAGAUAUGACACCCAAACUUAAGACGUGCAUCAGAAAAACUCUUACUAGAGACAAACCUCCCUGUGGCUCAUCGUCUUCUUCACAGCUCAGAUAUGCCACAGCACAGAGGGGAAGCAGGAGACAGAAAAGAGGAACAGACAUCUCUUUAUAUGACUUUGCAAGUAGGCUUCUUUCAACUACAGCUGGACUAGGCUAUUUGUUGGAGCCCAGACCAGCUGGUUUCUCCUCCCACAAUUACAAUCUUCUAUGAAGAGAGAAAUGGUUUGUUGAAGAUAUGCACACCUAAACCUAUCUGGAUAAAAAUUGCCUGAAUUUCAAGGUGCCUUUUCUCCAAAGCGAAGAGUCCCAGCCUUUCUUAUCUCCUCCUGUAAGGCUGCAGAUCCAUCUGCCUGUGCCUCCCCAGCUCCACCGGGUCCUCUGCUGAUUUGGAUACAUGAGAGCUUUCAGUCACUCUCGAGAUGGAAUCGUGCUGCUUUUUUAAGUCCUGC
ensembl:lncRNA